AUCCUUGGCACGCUUUGCUCCAGCAGGGUUAUCUUCUUGUCUUCUAGAAGAAGCUCCAUCAUGGUCACUGGGCCGUGUCAUUUCCUUUUUGGCAACAAGUGCCAUGGUCUGUUCUGUGCUUUGGACCUUGAAUGAUUCAUCAGCAGACAAGAAUUAAAGUUUCUUAAAUCUGGGUUCCAGAGCAGGGGCAAUUAGGGCAGUGUUUGAAGAGUGAGGUUAAAACAUAGACAGUUCUUGCCAUCUUGUUGUGAUCUUUUCUACCACAUGAGCUUGGUAUGACCUUAAUGGUGCAGUCUCAAAAGCUAAACCCUGUAUUGACUACUUCUUUAGGUUCUGCACUAGCUGUGGAAGUGUAGAGAGGGUAACGUACUUCUGGCCACUCAGAAACACCGUAGCUCCUUCAAAUGGGUCAAGGGCCUGGUUUAGCUCCACUGUUCAGGCUUCAGAUCAAGGUAGUGGUGUUUUCCUCUUGGAGUCACUUCUGGGUCUGAGAGAGCAGCAGUCACUGGCCAUCUUUGUUCCAGCAGUCUUGAUAACAUGUGAUAAGUGCUAUUCCAGCGCGUGCUUACAUCAUGCACCAGCAUGUGUUGUGGUGUGCCCAUCUGCUGUUGCCUCUCCUUUAGCUUGGUGCAUGCCAACUCACUCUUCCUAAAAUGCUCAACAAGGCAUCUUACACAAGCCACACUGCUUUGCAGAACCAAGUUCAGGGGGUGGCCUGCACAUCGCACCGAUGCCCAUCCAUGUUUUUCUUUUAAAAUUUUCACUGCUGCUACAAUACUAACACUAUUGUCAUGGACAACAGCUUUGACUUUCUCUGCUGGAAUGCCAAAUACGGCAAUAACAUCCUCAAGCCACUCUGCGAUAUUUGCAGCUGUGUGUCUUUCUUCAAGGGGCAUCGUUGUUGGGCUGUAGGACUCCCAUUUCCCAAUCCUUCCCAAGAAAGUGACACGUCAACCCCAGAUAAGCGCAAUGCUGUUCUUGAAGGAAGAGUGUAUCUUGGAUUGAAAAUGGAAAUCAUCCUCUGAAAACCUUCAUCCUCCACCAUGGAUAGCGGGCGCACGUCUGUGACAAUCAUGUUCAGAAUGCUGUCUGUAAGCUCAGCUGCUUCAGUUGAACGUGAUGCACCUGUCCACACAUAGCUGUCCAUACAUCGCUGUGAUUUACUGAAAAAGAGUUUAAAUAAAUUACAAUACAAAG